GAUGAACGCUGGCGGCGUGCCUAAUACAUGCAAGUCGAGCGAACAGACGAGGAGCUUGCUCCUCUGACGUUAGCGGCGGACGGGUGAGUAACACGUGGAUAACCUACCUAUAAGACUGGGAUAACUUCGGGAAACCGGAGCUAAUACCGGAUAAUAUAUUGUACCGCAUGGUUCAAUAGUGAAAGACGGUUUUGCUGUCACUUAUAGAUGGAUCCGCGCCGCAUUAGCUAGUUGGUAAGGUAACGGCUUACCAAGGCGACGAUGCGUAGCCGACCUGAGAGGGUGAUCGGCCACACUGGAACUGAGACACGGUCCAGACUCCUACGGGAGGCAGCAGUAGGGAAUCUUCCGCAAAGGGCGAAAGCCUGACGGAGCAACGCCGCGUGAGUGAUGAAGGUCUUCGGAUCGUAAAACUCUGUUAUUAGGGAAGAACAAAUGUGUAAGUAACUAUGCACGUCUUGACGGUACCUAAUCAGAAAGCCACGGCUAACUACGUG
rnacentral:rRNA from 1 species